AGCGAACGCUGGCGGCAGGCUUAACACAUGCAAGUCGAACGGGCAUCUUCGGAUGUCAGUGGCAGACGGGUGAGUAACACGUGGGAACGUACCCUUCGGUUCGGAAUAACUCAGGGAAACUUGAGCUAAUACCGGAUACGCCCUUUUGGGGAAAGGUUUACUGCCGAAGGAUCGGCCCGCGUCUGAUUAGCUUGUUGGUGGGGUAACGGCCUACCAAGGCGACGAUCAGUAGCUGGUCUGAGAGGAUGAUCAGCCACACUGGGACUGAGACACGGCCCAGACUCCUACGGGAGGCAGCAGUGGGGAAUAUUGGACAAUGGGCGCAAGCCUGAUCCAGCCAUGCCGCGUGAGUGAUGAAGGCCUUAGGGUUGUAAAGCUCUUUUGUCCGGGACGAUAAUGACGGUACCGGAAGAAUAAGCCGCGGCUAACUUCGUG
rnacentral:rRNA from 1 species